rnacentral:lncRNA from 1 species
CCACAAAGGCACCAACCACUCCCCUUUGCAGGUGUGAAGCAGCAGCUGGGGACAGUUCAGCCCGGCUUAGGCAUGACCUCUGUUUUCAUCUGCCUGCGAGGCACCAAGGAGGACCUGCAUCUGCCGUCCACCAACUACUAUGUUUACUAUGACACGGACAUGGACCAGGCACCACACUCUUGUCACACGCAGGAUGGAGCGCUACAUCUCCAUGCCCAGGGAAGAGGCUGCGGAACACAUCCCUCUUCUCUUCUUCGCUUUCCCAUCAGCCAAGGAUCCGACCUGGGAGGACCGAUUCCCCAGGCCGGUCCACCAUGAUCAUGCUCAUACCCAGCACCUACGAGUGGUUUGAGGAGUGGCAGGUGGAACUGAAGGGAAAGUAGGGCAGUGACUAUGAGACCUUCAAAAACUUCUUUGUGGAAGCCUCUAUGUCAGUGGUCCUGAAACUGUUCCCACAGCUGGAGGGGAAGGUAGGGGGUAAAGUAUUUGGGGUGGUGACGGACCUCAUGGUGCUAUUUCUGCCAGGUGGAGAGUGUGACUGCAGGAUCCCCACUCACCAACCAGUUCUGGCCUCCUAGGCCAGGGUAUCUUCACCUGUGGACUGGUAGGGGCCCUGCAAGGUGCCCUGCUGUGCAGCAGCGCCAUCCUGAAGUGGAACUUGUACUCAGACCUUAAGGAUCUUGUCUCUAGGAUCUGGGCACAGA